AACUGGAAAUGGAAGAAAAAUCAGAUAAUAUCUUUUCUGCCGUCCCCUGAUACCUUCAGGAGUUCAAACGUUUUCCAAGCCCGCGGCACUUGGCAAUUAUAAUUACACAGUAAAAUACCUAAGGUUAAUGAAUAACCUCUAAAGGAAGUUACUUCACAUAAUGACAGCAAUUUCUCUGAACUAAAUGUUAAUUAAUAAGGCCUGUAAUACUAUGAGAAGGAAAUGGUGGCAAUUGGCAAAUGGAACUCUGUUGCUUGGUAACAAAACCUGAGAAAUAAUCAAAACCCUCUGCACUCACUCAGAAGUGUCCAUAAGUCCUGUUCAAGUAAUCUUAAAAGAGACUGUUCCAAUAUUCGAUCUGCCUCGUUCAACAAGGCAAAAAGGUGAGGAAGCAGAGAAUUAUUUUUGAAUGGCUACUGCUUAAAGAGUUGCCUGCGUGAGGUUUGGUGGCAAGAAGCAGAAGUCAGAGCCUGUGGUUCCUGUUGCUCUUCGGCGGUAUGAAAGAGAGAAGAAGGCGUGCUUCAUUAUAUGAAGCUUUGCUCCUAAGGUGGAGUCUUGCUGCAUCACCAAGGCUGGAGUGCACUGGCACAAUCUCGGCUCACUGCAACCUCCUCCUCCCAGGUUCAAACAAUUCUGUCUCAGCCUCCCAAGUAGCUGGGACUACAGGUGCCUGCCACCACGCCUGGCUGAUUUUUGUAUUUUUAGUAGAGACAGGGUUUCACCUUGUUGGUCAGGCUGGUCUCAAACUCCUAACCUCAAGUGAUCCACCCGCGUCGGCCUCCCAAAGUGCUGAGAUUACAGGCGUGAGCCACCGUGCCCCACCAAUGCUACUGAUUUUUGUAUCCUGCAACUUUACCAAAUUCAUUUUUUUGGUUCUAAAUGUUUUUUGUGGAUCUUUGAGGCCUUCUACAUAAAGGAUAAUAUCUCAAAUAGGGAUAAUUUUGCUUCAUCUUUCUGAAUUUAGAUGCCUUUUUUUCUUCUCUGAUUGCCCUUGUUAGUACUUCUAAUACUACAUUGAAUAGAAGUGGUGAGAGGGGGCAUCCCUGUAUUGUACUGAUCUUAUUAGAAAAGCUUUCAUUUGUACCUGUUGAUUAUGAUCUUAGCUGUGAGCUUUUCAUAAAUGGUCCCUAUUAUUUUGAGGACCUUUCCUUCUAUAUCUAAACUGUUAAGAGUUUGUAUCAAGAAAGGAUACUGAAUUUUGUCAAAUAGUUUUUCUGCAUCAAUUGAGAGGUUCAUGUGGUUUUUCUCUUUUAGUCUUUUAAUAGAUGUGUUACAUUGAUUGACUUGCAUGCCAUGCAUAAAUCCCACUUGUACACCACAGGGAAAUCCCACUUGGUUCCGAUGUAUAACCUUCCUGAUGUGUUGUUGAAUCUGGUUUGCUAAUAUUUUAUUGAAGAUUUUAGUAUCAAAGUUCAAGACUUAUUGGCCUGUAGGUUUUUUUUACUUGAAGUAUCUUUGUCUGGCUUAGGUAUCAAGGUGACACUGGCCUCAUGAAAUAUAUUUGGAAGUAUUCCCUCUAGCUCUAUUUUUUUUUUUGGAAGAGUUUAAGAAGUAUUGGUAAUAAUUCUUUUUUAAAUGUUUUGUGAACUUCUUCUCUGAAGUCAUCUGGUUCAGUGCUUUUCAUUGCUGGAAGGUGUUUAAUUACUUUAAUAUCUUUGUUAUUGGUUUGUUCGAGCUUUCUAUUUCUUUUUGAGUCAAUUUUAGUAGGUUAUAUUUUUCUAGGAAUGUAUUCAUCUCUUCUAGGUUAUCCACAUUGUUGACAUAUAAUUUUUCAUAAUAAUCCUUUAUGAUCUUUUUUAUUUCUGAGGCAUCUGUUGUAAUGUCUCCAUUUUUAUUUCUAAUUUUAUUUAUUUGAGUCUUCUCUCUUUUUUUCUUAGUCUAAUUAAGGGUUUGUCAAUUUUGUUUUUUUCCUCAAAGAAUCAACUCUUGGUUUUAUUGAUUUUUUUUCUAUGGUUUUUCUGUUCUUUAUUUGAUUUAUUUCUGAUCUUUAUUAUUUUCUUCUGCUAACUUUGGGUUUGUUUUUAGCUUCUUCAAAUAUAAUGUCAGGCUAUUUAUUUGGGAUCUUUCUUCUUUUCUAAUAUAGGCGUUUUGAGUUUAGUUUGUUCUUUUUCUAGCUUCUCAAGGUAUAAUGUUAGGCUAUUUAUUUGGUAUCUUUCUUCUUUUUAAUUUUUAAUUAAUUUAUUAUUUUAUAAAGACAGUGUCUCAUGUGUAAUCCACGUCAGUGAUGACCAUGAGUGCCUCAGAGGCCUAGGCUGCAGGAGUUUCUGGCAGCAGUGAUGGCAAGGUAGAUUUUGUGAAUUCCUAGUGGUAAGGGAUCCUCCUGUUCUUAUUUUCCCCAAUAGUGGAGAGACUUGGAUGAGGGGAUCCCUCUUGGCCUUGGGUCUGACAUGAGCCACAGGCAGCCACAGCAGUGCUGUGUUCCAGGGCACAAGUGCUCAGAGUGGCUAUGGAGCUGAAGUCCUGAGCUGAUCCCAACCAGGGAGACGGUAUGACAGAGGCAAGGUGUUCUGCUCCCUUCUCGAUGUGGCCAUCUUGAGUUUCUGCACCCUGCAGGGUUUCUGCCACACCCUUGCUAUGCUCCAGCACUCUCUUUUAGUCAUUCGGGUUGAAAUGUAGUUGUUUGUUCAUUGUUUUAAUCCAUCUUUUGAAGGAGAGUGAUAGUCGACCAUCUCACUGACAUCAAUUUGACCUCUGUUUUUAAACUUUUCUCCAAGAUUUAGCUACAAGCUAAAUUUAAUUGCAUAAACUGGUCACAGCCUACAUAAUGGACAAGGCUUAUAUUUACCUUCAUAGCACCAUAUUUUCCAGUCUUCUGGGACUGGCCUCCCUCACUUCCUAUAAGGAAAAAUAAAACUGGGCUUCCCUGCAUUUUGAUGGGUCUAUGUAUUCUACUGGUCUGGCUCUCCCCUUGACCACAGGGAGGCCCAUGACUAAGGCCCAGGUAAUUGGAGUAACUCCCAAUGGCUCUAUCAGUUGGUCCGGGAGUGAGCACCUGCCUAAAGGUAAGCCUUUCUGAGCCUUUCUUUUCUGGAGAUUUCCCAAAUGAAGCUGGAAAAAGGAGGUUUCUUUCCUUUGGCAUUGCUAAGCCUUCCCCCAGGAAUUGCCUUGUAACUUUGGAGCUGCCUACAGCCAUCUCCAUUCACAAAGUCAUUCGAAGUGAUGGAGAAUGAGUGAUCGCAACAACAGAAGAAAGAUUUAAGGCAGAGAAAUGGAAAGACAGUCGUGAUGCUUCCAGCUCUGCAUCCAAAUGACUCAGAAGCCCACCCCAUCUCUUCCUCUCCGAUUAUAACAGCCACCAAAUUCCCCUUUGAGGGUAAACUUAUUUGAGGUCAGAAUGCAUUCUGACCAAUACACCUAUAUAUCCAACAGGAUUGGCAAGCAAACUAUGGUACAGUCAUAGAGUCAAAAUUGUAUGGCCAUUAAAACGAUCUUACCAAAGUAUAGUUUUCAAUAAAAGUUACAUGAACAGAUAGUAUGCAAAGAUGAUCUGAUAUAUUAAGUGAGAAAAGCUAGUUACAAGGCAAUAUUCAUUGUAUUAUCUAAUUUUGUUAAAAAUAGUUUAAUAACUAGAGACAAUAAAAUUUUAAUGGCUUUUUUCUGGAUGGUGGAAUUACACAUAAUUUUUUAUAUUUUAUAAUUUUUACUUUUAUGAUAAGAAAAGCAAUGCUAAAAACCAAGCCUUUGGCCUAAUCUUUUUAUAGGCCUAUGUACAAAUUAAAACUUAAUCGCCCACUCAUUCAUUUGAAUUUUACCAUGCCCCUUUCUUUCUAAAUAAGUUUCCUUUAACAUGGUGACACAUCAUCCCUUUCCUUUUUCAAGCAUCGGCACUUUAAAAGAUGACAUUUAUAAGGAUAGUAAAUUAUCAACACCUUCCGUCAGCAUAGUUUAUGGCUUUUUAGCUAGUGUAGGAGUUCACAAAAGAAACAUUUUCAUCUAAAUGAAGUCACUCAUUUAGAAGUAACUUUCUAAUUAUUUUCUCCAUGGUAACACAUAUAACACAUAUAAAAUAUGAAAAAAAUAUGUUUAUUCAAGUUUUUUUCUCUUUCAUAACUAUUUCAAAAAGCCUUAAGUGUGUUUUAUACCUCCUUAAAAAUUUCACCCUGUAGAUGGGGUUCAUUUUAACACUAAAGUCUGGGGCUUUGCACCAAUAACCUGACUCUAUUACUGCAUUGCAUUCCUGAUGAAACGCACUAAGAGUUUAAAGUUUCUUUAUUAAAAUUUUUUCUCAAGAAAAUGACUCUGAGCUUUGGAAAGCACUUCUAAAAUAAUGUCAUAUGAAAAGUGAACCUUUUAUUAGACCUCAGACCACAGAAGAAUCCCAUGGAAUUUUUUCUAAUAUAAUUAACCCCUUCAUUCGAGAACAUAAGAGCUGGAGUAUGGUUUAAUAGGUAGAUUUAGAGGCUUCUGUGCUUCCAGUAAUCCUCCUUUCAUCAAAACAAUGGCUAUAAUUAAUAUUUAUGAUUUUGCCUUUCUCCUCAAAGGACUUUACAAAUUGUUACCACUUACUAAUGACACUUACUAAUGAAGUACUUACUGCUCAGUCCAAAAGAGAAAUUUACAGUCUUCUCAAGUUUGUUCCACAAUGAUGUGGCUACAAAGGAGGGUUGGUUGUGAGUUGAUGGAUUCAACUCCCCAUUACCAAAAGAAUGAGUCAGGAAUGGGAAACCAAUCAGUCAGUUCCAAACUGAUUCCCCAAAGUUUGUGUGGCAGGAUCACUGAGGAUCACUGUUUUGAUUUGUAUUGUUUUAUUCAGGAUCUCCCACUAUGAUGUCCUAUAGGGGUAGGUAAAUUACAGCUGAGGGCCUGUGGCCUCAACCUAAUUUUAUAGCUACCCUUCUCCCUCCACCUCUCCUAUCCCACCCACAGUGAGUUACUUUUACAUUUUCAAAUGAUUGUUUAGAGGACAGAAGAAGAAUAUGUGACAGAGACUGUAUGUGACCUGCAAAGCCCCAAGUAUUUAUUAUCUGGUUCUUUAGCGAAUAAGUUUACUCCUCCCUGAAAAUCUAAGGCACAAUAAGAAAAGUCGAACUGUAAAGCUGUUGCAAUUCCAGCUAUAAACAUUGUCUAACAUUCAUGAAAGUGUCAUUUAGAAACUUGGACUUAGUGUACAGAGAUAAAUAUACUUUGUGGAAGCACAUUUCAGGUGUCAGCUUUUUUUGGAGUCAGCACAUUACUCUGGACUGACAGGAUAUAGACCUAAAAAGACCAAGUUCAUGUACCAACAUGCAUAUAGGAAACACUAUACACACACAGGAUAUUCAUCUACAACUUGGAGCUAACAUCAAAUAGGCUUGUUGGACUUUAGCACCACUCAGCAAUAGUACUGAAAGAAAAGAAUAAAAAGGAAGAGAAACCCAGCUCUUGGUGCACAACAAUUUGGGAAGACCUACAGGCAAGACUGAGCCCAUUCAGGCCAAACAGAGUCAGCACAAUAGCAGCAUGACUGUCCCACUGUAUACCAUUUGCAUAGACUUCUACUUAGUUUUAGUUUUAUCAGCAAUUUGUCUGUUAUUUAUAAGCCAUACCUCUUCUUAGCAACAACAAAAAAGGUAACAUUAUUAGAUUCCCAAUAUAUUAGCAACAAAAGCUACUUUUUGUGUGAGACACUGUCCUAAACUUGCUACAUAUAUCAUGCCCUUUGAGCCUCCAGUAAGACAGACAUUGCUCUCCUCAUUUUACAAGGGCUCAUAGUGGCACGCCCCACAUAAUGGAAGCCAUCUGAAGUAAGGUUAGUGAGGCUCAUGGGAACAGCCUCUGGUUCAUGUCAGCCUUUCUGCCAAGUUCAUUACUGAACGCAGAUCCCGUGUGACAGACUUUUCCAUCAAAAAUCCAGAAUCCUAUUGGAAAAUGAAUCAGAUACAAUUCAAAAAUUGGUCUUUGUUGUCCCUAUCUUUGGAAGGGGUAGUUAAAAACUAACCACAAAAAUGUACCCCAAUGUGGUGACGACACUAUUUACAAUAUGAUGCAAAAGGCUACCUCCUCUAACCCCACAGUGGGUACCUGAGCAGAUGGCUAAUGGUGAGUGGAAGCCAGAAGAAACCAAAUUAAACGCAGGGACCAGACUUACAGAAUUCCAGAACCAAACGAUUGGAGCUGCUCACAUGCCUUGGAAAGGGACCUAACACCAUGAGAUUGUGGGUCUGAAUGAAUGCCACUGGCCCUCCCAGUUGCUGUUGUUUCUUCUACACAGAGAUACAACAACAUUCACGUACAUGUUUGCCACUCAUCUGGCUAGCACUUAGCAUUUUGAAAG